rnacentral:rRNA from 1 species
ACGGAAGGCAGCAGUGGGGAAUAUUGCACAAUGGGGGAAACCCUGAUGCAGCGACGCCGCGUGAGCGAAGAAGUAUUUCGGUAUGUAAAGCUCUAUCAGCAGGGAAGAAAAUGACGGUACCUGACUAAGAAGCCCCGGCUAACUACGUGCCAGCAGCCGCGGUAGUACGUAGGGGGCAAGCGUUAUCCGGAUUUACUGGGUGUAAAGGGAGCGUAGACGGCAAGGUAAGUCUGAAGUGAAAUGCCGGGGCUCAACCCCGGAACUGCUUUGGAAACUAUCUCGCUCGAGUACCGGAGGGGUAAGCGGAAUUCCUAGUGUAGCGGUGAAAUGCGUAGAUAUUAGGAGGAACACCAGUGGCGAAGGCGGCUUACUGGACUGUAACUGACGUUGAGGCUCGAAAGCGUGGGGAGCAAACAGGAUUAGAUACCCUGGUA